rnacentral:tRNA from 2 species
GGCCUUAUCGUCUAGUGGCCUAGGACAUCGCCUUCUCAAGGCGGGAACAUGGGUUCGAUUCCCAUUAAGGCUA